CAACUUUCAGCAACGGAUCUCUUGGCUCUCGCAUCGAUGAAGAACGCAGCGAAAUGCGAUAAGUAAUGUGAAUUGCAGAAUUCAGUGAAUCAUCGAAUCUUUGAACGCACCUUGCGCUCCUUGGUAUUCCGAGGAGUAUGCCUGUUUGAGUGUCAUGA
rnacentral:rRNA from 1 species